rnacentral:rRNA from 1 species
CCUACGGGCGGCUGCAGUGGGGAAUAUUGCACAAUGGGCGCAAGCCUGAUGCAGCCAUGCCGCGUGUGUGAAGAAGGCCUUCGGGUUGUAAAGCACUUUCAGCGGGGAGGAAGGCGGUGAGGUUAAUAACCUCAUCGAUUGACGUUACCCGCAGAAGAAGCACCGGCUAACUCCGUGCCAGCAGCCGCGGUAAUACGGAGGCUGCAAGCGUUAAUCGGAAUUACUGGGCGUAAAGCGCACGCAGGCGGUCUGUCAAGUCGGAUGUGAAAUCCCCGGGCUCAACCUGGGAACUGCAUUCGAAACUGGCAGGCUAGAGUCUUGUAGAGGGGGGUAGAAUUCCAGGUGUAGCGGUGAAAUGCGUAGAGAUCUGGAGGAAUACCGGUGGCGGAGGCGGCCCCCUGGACAAAGACUGACGCUCAGGUGCGAAAGCGUGGGGAGCAAACAGGAUUAGAUACCCUUGUAGUC